AAAUCUUAUUCUGUUACUCCUUCUUAGGUCCACCUCAAUUCUACCUAUUGGUGAUAUAUAUUCCCUUUCCUUUGAACUCUUUGUAAACUGUUCUUCUUUUCUACAGACUUCCUGAGCUCCUUCUAUUUUGUUGACUUCUCGAAAACUCAGCUCCAUUAUGCCAGCCGAGGAAAAGACAUUGCAAGAGUUGAGGGCCAUUGACUGCUUUGCAUCACAUGAACUGUGAGCCCCAUGGCUCCAUUUUCUUAUUCAACCUGUCCUAGAUGUCAAAUGAUAGAACCCAUAUUAACAGAUAACCCUUGUUUCCUGCCCGCCUGAGUCCCUCAUGUCCAGAGGCUCACCUCUUGAUGAGAGUGAGGUCAGAGUCCUCCAUUCAGAGGGAGUUUGAAAAGUGACAUCAAGAAGAGAAUACAUGGAGAACUGGGAGGAAGUGAAGGCUUUUUCCCUAGCAAUCCAGAGCAAGAAGUACAUUUCUGAGACUGCAUUUGAACUUAUGGUUUCCUAACUUCAGGGCCAGUGCUUUAUCCACUAUACCACCUAACUGCUUCUAUGUAUGUAUGAAUUAUAUAUUCUAUGAAUCAAAAUGUACUUAAUACCUGCUUGACCUUUAUGUUGUAAGAGAUAUAAAUCAAAAGUAAUGCAUUAGUAGCUCAAUGGGAAAAAGGUAAAAAAGAGAUUGUAAAUAUAAUUUUUCUAAAUUUAUCUUGCAAACAAAAUAACCAAAAGAAUUAUUUUCUUGGGAAAAUUGAAAAAAUCAUAGGUG
rnacentral:lncRNA from 1 species